rnacentral:rRNA from 1 species
UAAGGAAUAUUGGGCAAUGGGCGCGAGCCUGACCCAGCCAUGCCGCGUGCAGGAAGACGGCCCUAUGGGUUGUAAACUGCUUUUAUACGGGAAUAACUGUGGGUAUGUAUAUCCACUUGCAAGUACUGUAUGAAUAAGCAUCGGCUAACUCCGUGCCAGCAGCCGCGGUAAUACGGAGGAUGCGAGCGUUAUCCGGAUUUAUUGGGUUUAAAGGGUGCGCAGGCGGAUAUAUAAGUCAGUGGUGAAAGACCUGGGCUCAACCGAGGUACUGCCGUUGAUACUGUAUAUCUUGAGUGUAGUGGGCGUUGGCGGAAUGUGUCAUGUAGCGGUGAAAUGCAUAGAGAUGACACAGAACACCGAUAGCGAAGGCAGCUGACGAUACUCACACUGACGCUCAUGC